UGAGUUUACGCUCUACAACCCUUUGUGAACAUACCUAUAACUGUUGCUUCGGCGGGUAGGGUCUCCGUGACCCUCCCGGCCUCCCGCCCCCGGGCGGGUCGGCGCCCGCCGGAGGAUAACCAAACUCUGAUUUAACGACGUUUCUUCUGAGUGGUACAAGCAAAUAAUCAAAACUUUUAACAACGGAUCUCUUGGUUCUGGCAUCGAUGAAGAACGCAGCGAAAUGCGAUAAGUAAUGUGAAUUGCAGAAUUCAGUGAAUCAUCGAAUCUUUGAACGCACAUUGCGCCCGCCAGCAUUCUGGCGGGCAUGCCUGUUCGAGCGUCAUUUCAACCCUCAAGCUCUGCUUGGUGUUGGGGCCCUACAGCUGAUGUAGGCCCUCAAAGGUAGUGGCGGACCCUCCCGGAGCCUCCUUUGCGUAGUAACUUUACGUCUCGCACUGGGAUCCGGAGGGACUCUUGCCGUAAAACCCCCCAAUUUUCCAAAGGUUGACCUCGGAUCAGGUAGGAAUACCCGCUGAACUUAAGCAUAUCAAUAAGCGGAGGAAAAGAAACCAACAGGGAUUGCCUCAGUAACGGCGAGUGAAGCGGCAACAGCUCAAAUUUGAAAUCUGGCCCUAGGCCCGAGUUGUAAUUUGCAGAGGAUGCUUUUGGUGCGGUGCCUUCCAAGUUCCCUAGAACGGGACGCCAGAGAGGGUGAGAGCCCCGUACAGUUGGACACCAAGCCUUUGUAAAGCUCCUUCGACGAGUCGAGUAGUUUGGGAAUGCUGCUCAAAAUGGGAGGUAUAUUUCUUCUAAAGCUAAAUACCGGCCAGAGACCGAUAGCGCACAAGUAGAGUGAUCGAAAGAUGAAAAGCACUUUGAAAAGAGGGUUAAACAGCACGUGAAAUUGUUAAAAGGGAAGCGCUUGUGACCAGACUUGCGUCCGGUGAAUCACCCAGCUCUCGCGGCUGGGGCACUUCGCCGGCUCAGGCCAGCAUCAGCUCGCUGUCGGGGACAAAAGCUUCAGGAACGUAGCUCUCUUCGGGGAGUGUUAUAGCCUGUUGCAUAAUACCCUUCGGCGGGCUGAGGUAC
rnacentral:rRNA from 1 species